GCGCCUGUAGUUCAGCUGGAUAGAGCGUCAGACUACGAAUCUGAAAGUCGCACGUUCGAAUCGUGCCAGGCGCGCCA
rnacentral:tRNA from 1 species